CAGGAUGAACGCUAGCUACAGGCUUAACACAUGCAAGUCGAGGGGCAGCAUGACCUAGCAAUAGGUUGAUGGCGACCGGCGCACGGGUGAGUAACACGUAUCCAACCUACCGGUUAUUCCGGGAUAGCCUUUCGAAAGAAAGAUUAAUACCGGAUAGUAUAGCGAGAAGGCAUCUUCUUGUUAUUAAAGAAUUUCGAUAACCGAUGGGGACGCGUUCCAUUAGUUUGUUGGCGGGGUAACGGCCCACCAAGACAUCGAUGGAUAGGGGUUCUGAGAGGAAGGUCCCCCACAUUGGAACUGAGACACGGUCCAAACUCCUACGGGAGGCAGCAGUGAGGAAUAUUGGUCAAUGGACGAGAGUCUGAACCAGCCAAGUAGCGUGAAGGAUGACUGCCCUAUGGGUUGUAAACUUCUUUUAUAUGGGAAUAAAGUGAGCCACGUGUGGCUUUUUGUAUGUACCAUACGAAUAAGGAUCGGCUAACUCCGUGCCAGCCGCGGC
rnacentral:rRNA from 1 species